AGUGAGAAACGCUGCAAAUACAUGAAUACUGGGGGCCUGGCAAAAAUCAGCAAAGCUGCUACACAGUUCCCACAGAAUUCCCAGUUCACUCACAAUUGGCUUUGGGAUGGACAGGAUUGCUGACAGUUGAUGCCAAAAAAUCGGUUCAGUGCAGUCUACAGAAUGCAAAAAAGAACGCCGCCGAAGCCCAUGGGGCACCAAGAACUGAUGUGGGAAGAAAAAAACACCACGACAGCGAAGACUUCUCCGAGUCAGACGUUUCGGACUCUGAAUGUAUUGUGUCAGCUGCUGAAGUAAAGAAGGCUAAUGAACAGGCCA